GGGGCCGUAGCUCAGCUGGGAGAGCGUCCGGUUUGCACCCGGGAGGUCGGGGGUUCGAGUCCCCUCGGCUCCACCC
rnacentral:tRNA from 1 species